UACGGGAGGCAGGCAGUCUACGAGGAGCGUCUCUCAGUCUACGAGCACUUUCAGUCGUAGAGGAAGGUAGUGUGUUAAUAAAUGCAUUAUUUGACGUUAGCGACAGAAGAAGCACCGGCUAACUCCGUGCCAGCAGCCGCGGUAAUA
rnacentral:rRNA from 1 species